rnacentral:rRNA from 1 species
AGUGAACGCUGGCGGUAGACCUAACACAUGCAAGUCGAACGGCAGCACAGUAAGAGCUUGCUCUUACGGGUGGCGAGUGGCGGACGGGUGAGGAAUACAUCGGAAUCUACUUUUUCGUGGGGGAUAACGUAGGGAAACUUACGCUAAUACCGCAUACGACCUACGGGUGAAAGCAGGGGAUCUUCGGACCUUGCGCGAUUGAAUGAGCCGAUGUCGGAUUAGCUAGUUGGCGGGGUAAAGGCCCACCAAGGCGACGAUCCGUAGCUGGUCUGAGAGGAUGAUCAGCCACACUGGAACUGAGACACGGUCCAGACCCCUACGGGAGGCAGCAGUGGGGAAUAUUGGACAAUGGGCGCAAGCCUGAUCCAGCCAUACCGCGUGGGUGAAGAAGGCCUUCGGGUUGUAAAGCCCUUUUGUUGGGAAAGAAAAGCAGCAGGUUAAUACCCCGCUGUUCUGACGGUACCCAAAGAAUAAGCACCGGCUAACUUCGUG